CAGCAGCAGCCGCGGUAAUACGGAGGGGGCUAGCGUUGUUCGGAAUUACUGGGCGUAAAGCGCACGUAGGCGGCUUGGUAAGUUAGAGGUGAAAGCCUGGAGCUCAACUCCAGAAUUGCCUUUAAGACUGCUGAGCUAGCAGGUGAGAGAGGUAAGUGGAAUUCCGAGUGUAGAGGUGAAAUUCGUAGAUAUUCGGAAGAACACCAGUGGCGAAGGCGGCUUACUGGCUCAUACUGGACGCUGAGGUGCGAAAGCGUGGGGAGCAAACAGGAUUAGAUACCCCCGUAGUCCCUGUCUCUUAUAC
rnacentral:rRNA from 1 species